rnacentral:rRNA from 1 species
GAUUUCUGAUUUAAUUUACCUGUCCCGCCACGGUAACGUGUGUGAGUGACGGCUGUAAAUUGAUCAUCCUUCUAGAUAAGUAUAAUGGUGCAAACUGUUAUAUUUUAUUUAGAUCGUUUACUUUGAAAAAAUUAGAGUGUUUCAAGCAGGCAUUUUGCUAUGAAUACAUUAGCAUGGAAUAAUAAGUUAGGACUUUGGUUCUAUUUUAUUGGUUUCUAGGACUGAAGUAAUGAUUGAUAGGGAUAGUUGGGGGUGCUAGUAUUCAGUAAGAAAGGGUGAAAUCUUUGGAUUUACUGAAGACUAACUUAUGCGAAAGCAUU